rnacentral:rRNA from 1 species
CCCUUAGAUGCUCUGGGCCGCACGCGCGCUACACUGGUCGAUGCAACGAGUUUCUUUCCUUGGCCGACAGGCCUGGGCAAUCUUUGAACAUCGAUCGUGAUCGGGAUAGAUUCUUGUAAUUUUUGAUCUUAAACGAGGAAUUCCUAGUAAGCGCAAGUCAUCAGCUUGCGUUGAUUACGUCCCUGCCCUUUGUACACACCGCCCGUCGCUCCUACCGAUUGAAUGGUCCGGUGAAGCGUUCGGACCGUGGCCUUUGGACGGUUCGCCGUCUGUUGGCUGCGGGAAGUUCGUUAAACCUUAUCAUUUAGAGGAAGGAGAAGUCGUAACA